rnacentral:rRNA from 1 species
AUGAACGCUGGCGGCGUGCCUAAUACAUGCAAGUCGAGCGAACGGACGAGAAGCUUGCUUCUCUGAUGUUAGCGGCGGACGGGUGAGUAACACGUGGAUAACCUACCUAUAAGACUGGGAUAACUUCGGGAAACCGUAGCUAAUACCGGAUAAUAUUUUGAACCGCAUGGUUCAAAAGUGAAAGACGGUCUUGCUGUCACUUAUAGAUGGAUCCGCGCUGCAUUAGCUAGUUGGUAAGGUAACGGCUUACCAAGGCAACGAUGCAUAGCCGACCUGAGAGGGUGAUCGGCCACACUGGAACUGAGACACGGUCCAGACCCCUACGGGAGGCAGCAGUAGGGAAUCUUCCGCAAUGGGCGAAAGCCUGACGGAGCAACGCCGCGUGAGUGAUGAAGGUCUUCGGAUCGUAAAACUCUGUUAUUAGGGAAGAACAUAUGUGUAAGUAACUGUGCACAUCUUGACGGUACCUAAUCAGAAAGCCACGGCUAACUACGUG